UGGAGCAUCAGGAGGAGGACGUCAGCGAGGAGGAGCUCACAUACACAGAGAUGAAGUCUCGCUGGAAGCAAAAGGAGUUCAUUGCCAAAUCAUGGGAAGAUUACGUUUCCAGGACUUCAAACUAUGAGACCUUAAAGGAAGUAAAAGCACAGAGGGAAAAGGAUGCUGAAUCAUCCAGAGCUAAACCAAAGGACGAGGGCGCUGCU